UACGUAGGGUGCAAGCGUUAAUCGGAAUUACUGGGCGUAGAGGGCACGUAGGCGGUGAAUCGGGUUGAAAGUGAAAGUCGCCAAAAAGUGGCGGAAUGCUCUCGAAACCAAUUCACUUGAGUGAGACAGAGGAGAGUGGAAUUUCGUGUGUAGGGGUGAAAUCCGUAAAUAUACGAAGGAACGCCAAAAGCGAAGGCAGCUCUCUGGGUCCCUACCGACGCUGGGGUGCGAAAGCAUGGGGAGCGAACAGG
rnacentral:rRNA from 1 species